UACGUAGGGGGCGAGCGUUGUCCGAAGUUACUAGGCGUAAAGCGCACGUAGGCGGCGAUUCAAGUCAGAGGUGAAAGCCCGGGGCUCAACUCCGGAACUGCCUUUGAAACUAGAAUGCUAGAAUCUUGGAGAGGCGAGUGGAAUUCCGAGUGUAGAGGUGAAAUUCGUAGAUAUUCGGAAGAACACCAGUGGCGAAGGCGACUCGCUGGACAAGUAUUGACGCUGAGGUGCGAAAGCGUGGGGAGCAAACAGG
rnacentral:rRNA from 1 species